rnacentral:rRNA from 1 species
UACGUAGGGGGCAAGCGUUGUCCGGAUUUAUUGGGCGUAAAGAGCGUGUAGGCGGUUCGGUAGGUCCGUUGUGAAAACUCGAGGCUCAACCUCGAGACGCCGAUGGAAACCAUCGAACUAGAGUCCGGAAGAGGAGAGUGGAAUUCCUGGUGUAGCGGUGAAAUGCGCAGAUAUCAGGAGGAACACCAAUGGCGAAGGCAGCUCACUGGCCCGAUACUGACGCUGAGGUGCGAAAGCGUGGGGAGCAAACAGG